UUAUUUUUAGUGGCGAGGAUAACUGAAUAAGGGAUCCGUAGCGAAAGCGAGUUUUAAUAGGGCGACUAGUCGCUAGGAGUAGACCCGAAACCGGCGCGAUCUAUCCAUGGCCAGGUUGAAGAUUAGGUAGUACUAAUUGGAGGACCGAACCCAAUACUGUUGCAAAAGUAUGGGAUGAGCUGUGGAUCGGAGUGAAAGGCUAAUCAAGCACGGAGAUAGCUGGUUCUCCCCGAAAACUAUUUAGGUAGUGCCUCGUGUAUAACUCAUUGGGGUAAAGCACUGUUUCGACAAUGGGGGUUUUACGACCUUACUGACUCGAUGCAAACUCAGAAUACGAUGAAGUUCGAUCACGGGAGACACACUGCGGGUGCUAAGGUCCGCAGUGGAAAGGGAAACAGCCCAGACCGCCAACUAAGGUCCCAAAGUCAUAGCUAAGUGGGAAACGAAGUGGGAAGGCCCAGACAGCCAGGAGGUUGGCUUAGAAGCAGCCACCCUUUAAAGAAAGCGUAAUAGCUCACUGGUCGAGUCGGCCUGCACGUAAGAUUUAACGGGGCUAAGCUAUGCACUGAAGUUGCGGAAUAUAUUUAGUAUAUUGGUAGGGGAGCGUUCUGUAAGCCGAUGAAGGUGAAUUGAGAAGUUUGCUGGAGGUAUCAGAAGUGCGAAUGCUGACAUGAGUAACGUAAAAUAAGUGAGAUUCUUAUUGGCCGAAAACCCAAGGGUUCCUACGCAAUGUUAAUCAACGUAGGGUAAGCCGGCCCCUAAGGCGUAGCUGAAGAGUGAAGUCGAUGGGAAACAGGUUAAUAUUCCUGUGCUGCUUAUAUGAACGAAGGAGGGACGGAGAAGGUUAGGUAGGCCUGGCGAAUGGUUGUCCAGGUGAAAGUAUGUAGGUAGGAAUGCUAGGCAAAUCCGGUGUUCUGUUGAUCUGAGAUACGAGACGAAGUUAAACUUGUUUGACGAAGCUAUUGAUACCAUGCUUCCAGGAAAAGCUUCUAAGUAUAUUGUAUAAGUGACCGUACUGUAAACCGACACUGGUGGGUAGGUAGAGAAUACUAAGGCUAUGAGAUAACUCUGGUGAAGGAACUAGGCAAAAUGACACCGUAACUUUGGAAGAAGGUGUGCCCUUGAUGGUGAUGAGACUUGCUCUUUGAGCUGUUGGGGGUUGCAGAUACCAGGUGGCUGCGACUGUUUAUCAAAAACACAGCACUCUGCGAAAUCGUAAGAUGAAGUAUAGGGUGUGACGCCUGCCCGGUGCUGGAAGGUUAAUUGAAGGGGUUAGCGCAAGCGAAGCUCUGGAUCGAAGCCCCAGUAAACGGCGGCCGUAACUAUAACGGUCCUAAGGUAGCGAAAUUCCUUGUCGGGUAAGUUCCGACCUGCACGAAUGGCGUAACGAUGGCCACACUGUCUCCACCAGAGACUCAGUGAAAUUGAAAUCGCUGUGAAGAUGCAGUGUACCCGCGGUUAGACGGAAAGACCCCGUGAACCUUUACUAUAGCUUUGCACUGGACUUUGAAUAUUUAUGUGUAGGAUAGGUGGGAGACCAUGAAGCAGCUACGCCAGUAGUUGUGGAGUCGUCCUUGAAAUACCACCCUUGAAUAUUUGAAGUUCUAACUCAGGAGAGAUUCGAGGACAGUGUAUGGUGGGUAGUUUGACUGGGGCGGUCUCCUCCUAAAGAGUAACGGAGGAGUACGAAGGUGCACUCGGUACGGUCGGAAAUCGUGCCAAGAGUAUAAAGGCAAAAGUGCGCUUGACUGCGAGAGUGACGGCUCGAGCAGGUACGAAAGUAGGUCUUAGUGAUCCGGUGGUCCCGAAUGGAAGGGUCAUCGCUCAACGGAUAAAAGGUACUCCGGGGAUAACAGGCUAAUUCCUCCCAAGAGUUCAUAUCGACGGAGGAGUUUGGCACCUCGAUGUCGGCUCAUCACAUCCUGGG
rnacentral:rRNA from 1 species